rnacentral:lncRNA from 1 species
CUAUUUUGUAAACUACCCCUGUGUAGUUGGAGAAGAUUUAUUCUGCAAUUGUUGGAUAUAGUGUUUUAUAAAUAUUAAUGAUGUCAAGUUGGAUAAAAAUGUUGUUCAAACAGUCUUCUGUUUACUCAUUUUUUCCUGCUUGUUCUAUCAAUUACUGAGAGAGAUUUACCAGUCUCCUACUAGGAUUACAGAUUUUUCUAUUCAUCCUUUUAGUUCUGCCAACUUCUGCUUCAUCUAUUAUGAGGUUUUGUUUUUAGGUGUACACAUAUUUAGGACCGUUUUCCUAAUGAGAUCACUAUUUGAUUAUUAUGAGUGUCUUUAUUUUUGGUAAUAUUCAUUGACUAGGGGGUGUUUUUUCCAUAACAGUAAUAUUUUACUUUUCUAAUUGCAAUAGUAAUACUGUAUUUCUCAUCAUUGGUAUUUGCACAAGUAUUUUUCCAUCCUUUUACUUUAAACCUAUCUGAUCUUAUUUUUAAAGUACAUCCUUGCAAACAGCAUACGGUUGAGUCUUAUUUUCUUGAUCCAGGCUGAGACUGUAAGAAAUUCAUUUAAUAUCUGGUAUAUUCAAUUUUAAAAUAAACUUUUGGAAUAACUUUAGAUUUACAGAAAAGUUGCAAAAAUACAACAGGAGAAUCCUAAAUACUUCUUACUAGUUUUCUCUAUGUUAAUACUUUAUAUAAGCGUAGUACAUUUAUCAAAACUAAAAAAACAUUGUCACUUUACCAUUACAUAAAAUCCAGACAUUAUUUGGAUGUCACCAGUUUUUCCAUUAAGGUCAUUUUUCUGUUCCAAGAUCCAAUCCAGGAUUCCACGUGGCAUUUUUUAUUCCAUCUAUUAUUUCACCAUUUACUUUUAAUGCAAUUUUGUGUUUGCAAUUUUGCUUUUCUUCUUAAAGAUCACCCCUCCCAAAUUGUACAAACUUCUCGUUAGAUCUACCCUACUUUUGAUAGAUGUCUAAUUUUGUUUCUACCAUAAUAAUUUUUAAUGCCCUCCCUCCACCCAAACACAGAGAAAAAGACAGACAGAAUUGUGUGUGUGUGGUUUCUUUUGUUUUCUAAUUCUUGUUACAUAAACUAUUGUUAUUUUCUUUCAUCUUUCUCCAGUGAUCUUUAGAGCAUAUAUAUUAUUUUAGAUUCCACUACUGGUUAUCAUUUACUUUUAAAAAAAUUUUAUAUUUGAAUCUAUAUUUUUUAAAUUAGCUAAGACCCAAAUAAACAGUUUAUUUGGACUACCCUUACGUAUGAU